UUAAAGAUUUGUUCCAAUGGAUUUCCAGGAAUAACUCUUGGGCUGGUUGGCUUAUGAAUUCCAGGUCCCUUCUUUUCCUCCCUUUAAAAAGGGAAGGAUUUUGCUGCCUAUUCAAAAUGAAUAGAUUCAGAAGUGGAAUCCAGCAUGGAAAAUGAAGGAAGGUCAGAGGAAGGGUAAUAUUUAAAGAAGAUUGAGCAUUUUAACAUGCUACUGGCUUCAGGGUCUGCAGUCCCUAAAAAUACCAGGUUUUAUGCACUGGAAUCCUGAGCAGACCAAGUACAACAAAAGCGCUUCUUUGAGCGUUCAGAAGGACAGUUGUUCAGUAUUCAAAAACUAAAGGAAAGAGAACUUCUUCAUUUUUAUGACACUCUGAAGCAUAAACACUUUCCCCAAAUAAGCAACCCAAAAAGGGAUUUUCAAUUGACCAGAGCAAAGCUCUCUAAAAUAGCUUGAUCCUUGCCAUUAGUAGAGCAGAUGCGGUUCCUGGCCUCUUCUCCCUACUUCAAGCAGAAAGUGGGUGGUGGGGGACUGGAUGGAUGGAGAGCAGGGAGGAUUGAAAGAUGGGUCUGAAGGUUGGGGAGAGGUGGGGAAGGUACCUGAGAAUUCAAGAAUUGCCAGCCGUUAUUAAGAUGCAGAUAAACAAUGAGAGUUAAAACUCCGUGGCUGAAUUAAUUGUUUGGAAACACAAGAGAGGUGCCAAGCUGAAGGAUGUGGGAGAACUAUUCACUGCCAAGUUCAAAUAAGAUAUGCAACUGGACUAUAAAAAAAUCUUAUCUUUGCAUGA
ensembl:lncRNA